AUUGAACGCUGGCGGCAGGCCUAACACAUGCAAGUCGAGCGGAGCGGCGGACGGGUGAGUAAUGCCUAGGAAUCUGCCUGGUAGUGGGGGAUAACGUCCGGAAACGGGCGCUAAUACCGCCUACUAUCUGAUGAGCCUAGGACGGAUUAGCUAGUUGGUGGGUUAAAGGCCUACCAAGGCGACGAUCCGUAACUGGUCUGAGAGGAUGAUAAGUCCCACUGGAACUGAUACGCGGUCCAGACUCAUACGGGAGGCAGCAGUGGGGAAGAUUGGACUAUGGGAGAAAGCCUGAUCCAGCCAUGCCGCGUGGGUGAAGAAGGUCGUCGGAUUGUAAAGCACUUUAAGUUGGGAGGCGUUACCAACAGAAUAAGCACCGGCUAACUUCGUGCCAGCAGCCGCGGUAAUUC
rnacentral:rRNA from 1 species